UACGUAGGGUGCAAGCGUUAAUCGGAUUUACUGGGCGUAAAGGGCGCGUAGGCGGUCAGCACAAGUCAGUUGUGAAAUCUCCGGGCUUAACUCGGAAAGGUCAACUGAUACUGUGCGACUAGAGUGCAGAAGGGGCAACUGGAAUUCUCGGUGUAGCGGUGAAAUGCGUAGAUAUCGAGAGGAACACCUGCGGCGAAGGCGGGUUGCUGGGCUGACACUGACGCUGAUGCGCGAAAGCCAGGGGAGCGAACGGG
rnacentral:rRNA from 1 species